AACGUAGGAGCCAAGCGUUAUCCGAAUUCACUGGGCGUAAAGCGCGUGCAGGCGGCUCGAUAAGUUGGAUGUGAAAGCUCCCGGCUCAACUGGGAGAGGCCGUUCAAUACUGUCGGGCUAGAGGGCGGCAGAGGGAGGUGGAAUUCCCGGUGUAGUGGUGAAAUGCGUAGAUAUCGGGAGGAACACCAGUGGCGAAGGCGGCCUUCUGGGCCGUACCUGACGCUCAGACGCGACAGCUAGGGGAGCGAACGGG
rnacentral:rRNA from 2 species